rnacentral:tRNA from 1 species
CGGAGAGGUGGCAGAGUGGUCGAAUGUACCUGACUCGAAAUCAGGCGUAUCGAGGGUUCGAAUCCCUCCCUCCUGG